CCGGGAGUAGCUCAGCGGUAGAGCACCCGGCUCUUAUCCGGGCGGACGCAGGUUCGAGCCCUGUCCCCGGA
rnacentral:tRNA from 1 species